AUCUCCCCUCUUUCCUUACACCUUCCGGUACACUUACCUUGUUACAACUUACCUCAUCUUUAGCGUGUUAAUGGUAUUAGUUAUGUGGGAUAUAGCUUUUGAGGAGGGUGACGGGCGGUAUGUACGUGCCCCAGGGCCGGCUUAAAGGGGGCUCUAUUGUCCCGCUCUACUGCUAAAUCCUCCUUCCAGAAGCAGUUUCAAACUUCUUUCCGUGUGCCCUAUGUAUAGGGAAUGUAGCCCAUUUCUUCCACUCCAUAGGCUGUACCUUGACCUGUCUUACUAGCGAUGUGCUAUUGUGUCCACUGUUGUGCUCUCAUUCGAGGUGGGCUGGCGACGGCGGUAUGUAGGCUGUGUUGGCAAGGGGUGGUUGGGUUAAUCGUGGAUUAUCGAUUGUAGAACAGGCUCCUCUAGGUGGGUUUAGGGCACCGCCAAGUCCUUAGAGUUUUAAGCGUUUGUGCUCGUAGUUCUCUGGCGGAUACUUCGGUAAAGUAAGUAUCAAGAUUUAGGGCCAGGCAUAGUGGGGUAUCUAAUCCCAGUUUGGGCCCUGGCUUUCGUGGGGUUAAAUCGAUCGUUAGUUCCUAAGAUCAUCUUAAUGGUGUGUUUAGGUGCAUCUUGGGCUUAUGACAGCUUAGUUGCAUUUUGGUCUUAGUUAGCUAGGAUAGGCAUUUUACCACUCUUUACGCCAGGUUUUAUGGGACGGUUGAUUUGGGUUUCUUGUGUGACCGUGGUGGCUGGCACAAGAUUUACCAACCCUUAGGAAGUGAGAAUUGUUGCUAUAACUAAGUCAAGUUUGCACUCAUUGCUUAAUGUUAACUACUGCUGAAUACCCGUGGGGGCGUGGCUUAGCGAGGCGUCUUGGGCUACUGCUUGGGUGUGCCUGAUACCCACUCCUCAAGGCCUAGUGGUAAUAGGUGGUCGAGGGCGUUUACACUGGGGCGCGGAUACUUGCAUGUAUGAAUUUAGCAAAAACCAACCGUAAGGUUAGGACUAAGUCUUUUGUUCGCAGGUACGCUUGUGUACCGUCUUGGCAGCUUCAGUGCCAUGCUUUAUGUUAAGCUAUGUGAACGGGAGUGGGAUUAGCUGAUGGUUGAGUGGUGGGUGGGGGGGUGAAAUGUAUGAAAUUGUUGUGUGUGUUGCCUUUGUUUAGUACUGGAGUUUCUCUAAUAAAUUUGGGUUAUUUUGUAUAUGUUUGUAUAUAUAUAUUGUCGGGAAUGUGUGGGACGAGUUAAUGGAAUUCUUGAGGUAGUUCCGUGUACAUUGGAUGAUGGGAGCUUAUGCCAUGUGAUUUGGGGGUCGUGGUUUUGGGUAAGCAGGGAUUUACUGGUUUAGGUUUGUGAAGCGCAGGGGUUGCGCUUGAUGGCUUUUGUUUUUGUGGUAUGUCCUGCGAGCAUUCACUGAAUAGCCCCAUUUAACCCAGAUGGGUGGAGGUAACAUUAACUGAAUGUGGACAAAGUGCAUCAGUGUCAGGAUGAUUCCCCAUAUACGCCAACCGUCUCAUUGAGGGACCCUUGAGAUAUAGGAUAGACCGUGAGGCAGGUGUGUCCAGGCUUAGAUUGUGGGACCCCCGAAGUCACUGGGAAGAGCCACCUGUGAGGUAACCCCAGAAAAAAUAAAAGGAACCAGAGGCGCCAAAAAGCUGGGAAAUGCCGCGAUUACGCAUUGAGGUGGUGGAAGUAUUCCACAGAUGCCACUUUGAAGGGCAAGGAGAGGUGAGUGAACCCAAUGGAUGGCCCUGACCGAGGAACCAGCGGCGCAAAAAUGUGAGGAGGGCGAGGGGUUUAGGGGGAACGUAUGGGCCUGAAGCUAGUCAUAUCGGACAUUAUGUGCAGCGGGUUGCUGAUUUCACGUGAGGUGUACGACUAAUAAAUCCAUCUGAUACGAACUGCAUGAGAUAUGUGGUUGAGGGUUAUUGUUAGGGGUAUGUCCUGGGAGCAUUCACUGGGUAGUGGCCUUGUUGUGUGCCUGAGGGUGGUGGUUGUGGGUUAUCUGGUUGGUCUUGGAGCAUUCAUGUUAAUGUGGUUUGGUAGGAGAGUGCUGUGAGGAUUUGAUGUCCGUG